ACUCCCAUUACUGAAAUCCCACCUCCCAUUUUGGUCCAAUUUUGGGGCCGCUUGGGGCUGUUUUGGGCCAUUUUGGUGCCAUUUGGGGGCCGUUUUGGGGCCAUUUGGGGGCCAUUCUGGUCGCUCACCUGCUUGUUGCAGUGCUCAGAAUCCUCUAAACCCCAUUCCUGAAAACCCACUUCCCAUUUUGGUCCAACUUUGGUGCCAUUUUGGGCCGUUUUGGAGCCAUUUGGUGCCAUUUUGGGCCAUUUUGGUGCCGUUUGGUGCCAUUUUGGUGCCAUUUUGGGCCAUUUUGGUGCCAUUUUGGGCCAUUUUGGGGCCAUUUUGGUGCCAUUUGGGGCCGUUUUGGGGCCGUUUGGUCGCUCACCUGCUUGUUGUAGUGCUCAGAAUCCUCUAAACCCCAUUUCUCAAAUCCCACCUCCCAUUCUGGGGCCAUUUUGGGCCAUUUUGGAGCCAUCUGGGGCCAUUUUGGGGCCGUUUGGUGCCAUUUUGGUGCCAUUUUGGGCCAUUUCCGUGCCAUUUUGGGCCAUUUUGGUGCCAUUUUGGGGCCGUUUGGUCGCUCACCUGCUUGCUGUAAUGCUCCGAAUCCUCUAAACCCCAUUUCUCAAAUCCCACCUCCCAUUU
rnacentral:lncRNA from 1 species